CCACUUAGACUAGUCUUAAAAGUUAAGACAUUAAUGUUUUUCUUGAAGAGUGGUCCUAAUUUUUUAAAGUCCGUUACAUAAAAAGGUAGAUUGGUGUAAUAUGAAUUGGAAAAAUAACAUUGAUUACCCCUUGGUUAACUGCAAGUUGGUCAAACUAGUUCUUAAGUCACAGUCUUAAUACAGUAAGUUUAUCCAACUGGCCCCUGAACUGCGUAAGUCUGAAAGUGAAAUCAAAGUCGGUCAUUGCUGGUGUUGCUGCAGAGACAGUCAGAGUGGAAUGAGCUGUGAAGACAUACAGACCAGAGAAUCAAAACCAUGAAUGCUUUAAAUUCUGUGCAACUGUUCAUUCUGGUUUGGACUUUUACUGCUGUCUGUCGAGCUGAUGAAGACAUCAGUGUAAGGUGUGAGGAUGUUACUGGAGUUGUGGGUGAAGAAGCAACUUUCACCUGCAGCGUCUCUCAGAAGUGCUCUGAACGCUGCAUUACAUUAUAUAAGUUUUAUUACACUGAUAUCUAUAAUGACUCAACAAUCUGUAGACAAGAUCUUCCUGAGGGCUCCUGUGACCAGAGAAACAGCUUCACAUGCAGAUACGCUCCAACUACAGUAGUGCCAGGACAAUUCAGAUUCUUUGUGCAAACAAAGUGUGGAUGGAAAGACAGAGAAUUCACUGUGAACAUAACAGAGCAAAAACAAGGAGGGGGUCCUGGAUCAAGAAAAGGAGACAAUACUGGAUCAGAGGAGAGUCCUGGAUCUAAUGAUACUGUCGUUCCUGCAGUUGCAGGCUGUUUCA